rnacentral:lncRNA from 1 species
UUAAUUAAUAUUUUAAUUAAUUAAUUAGUUAAUUUCUUUACUAAUUAUCUAACUAAAAUAAUUUACUAACUGAUUAAAAAGAUAACUUAUUUAUAAUAUUUAAUUAAUUAAUGUACCAAUUAACCUAAUUACAUAACUAAUGUUUAUAUUUAUUAAUUUAUUACAGUAUUCAUAGCUACUAAAUUUACUAAUUUAAUAAAUUAUUUUUAAAUAAUAUUUUAUGUUAAUUAAUCAGAUAAAAUAUUAUUAGUUUAAAAUUAUAAUUAUUAUUAUUUUUAGUAUUCCAUUGUAACUAUCUUAACACUAUUUUUUUUAUUAUCGGAAACAAUCUAAUUUUUAUCCAAAAGUAAAAUUUGGUCUAGUUCCUGUUUAUAAAUAAACUUGUAUAUAUUUCCGAAAUAAGUAGUUCUUUUAUAUCUCCGAAACUAUAUGAAACCUAAAAAGAAAAAGGCAUCCAAUUCAUUCGUUGUCAUAGACCACUAAUUAAUUUUUA